ensembl:lncRNA
CAGGUGGAAGCCAGCCAGCAAACACCUACAGCUAUUCUUAGUGAAAUUCCUCAGAGGAAUCCAGGGGGCUCCCAGUUCCCAACACUCUUCAAGAUUACCAUUUUUCACAAUUUGGGGAACAUUUUACAUAUUCAGUCUUUCUCAAUAACUUUUAUUUAUUUUCUUGAGAAAGGGUCUUACUGUGUUGCCCAGGCUGGAGUGCAGUGGUGUGAUCACAGCUCAUUGCAGUCUCAGCUUCUGAGGCUCAAGCCAUCCUCCCAUCUCAGCCUUCCGAGUAGCUGGGACCACAGGUGUGCACCACUAUGCCUUGCUAAUUUUUUUAUUUUUUUGUAGAGACGGGGGUCUCGCUAUGUUGCCCAGGCUGGUUUCAAACUCCUGGGCUCAAGGGAUCCUACCACUUUGACCCCAGAAGUGCUGGGAUUACAGGCAUGAGCCACUGCACCCGCCACUUUUCUAAUUUAUAGACAUAAAAGUAAUUGACUCCCACAGCACAGUAACAGGCAAUGCUGCUUGGCAUGCCACAAACAUCAGAAAGCUUGUGACACUCCUAGGAUUGUAUCCAUUCUUUCAUUACAUGGAAACAUUGUUCUGUUAUGUGAAAUGGGUAAGGCACCAAGUGAGACUUUGAAAUACAAUUUUUAGGUGAAUGUGAUAUUUAUUGUAGUAGGACUUGACCUCUGUGCUUUAAAGAAAUCACUAACCAAAAUUUCAAAGUUUCAUUUUAAAUGCGUUUAGCUAGAAAUCUAUGUAUUUAUCCCUUUCCCAUUUUGCAUUCUUCUCCCACUAUUUUUAAAAUGUCAUUUACAGUAGAAACCAUCCUUCUUUCUCCCAACAGUAUCCUUUGCCAAGACCAUGAAAACAGUCAGGAGCAUGUUGGUGGUCAGGGUUUCAGAACACAUGUGAUGUCACUGAGAAUGUUUGUUCACAGUCAAUAAUUGUCUCUGUGGAUGUGAUCAUUUUGGAGAUAUACUUCUGGUCAGAAGUCAGGUGAGAUAAUCUUGCAAUACUCCAAAUGCAGAUACUCUAGCCACCUGCAAGGUUCCAGGAAAGGACAAUGUCCUGCGAGAAAAUCAGGAGGCCUCCACUUCCUGGGCCACUUGAGAAGUUCCUGGGCAUGUCACUACAUGUUGGCUGACUCAGCCAUUUCUCAUGCUGUUUUGUUUCUUGCGGUGGCCACUUAACCCCAGAGAAUGAAGGGAGGAUCCACAGUGAAAGUGCCUGAGUUUCUCUACGAGACGAGAUGGUGUCGAAACCAAACAUCUUUUCCUUUGCUGUAGGGGAACAUUUUAGGGUUUGUUUUGCACAGCUGGUUUCCAGACUAGAAGAUUAACAAGUGUGGAUCCACCCCUAAGAAUCAGUGGCUGUCUUUUAAGGUGAGGAGUGUGGGCUUAACUGAGGUCCUUUGAGGGAGCUAUAAAGGAGAAACAGCCUGGGACAUCCCAGUUUUCCUAUUCCUCCACUGUUAAUAUUCUCACCUAAAAUAAUUCAUGAGUUUAAAUGGUAAAUAUAUGCUUUAAGCUCUACCUUUAAACUCGUAUGUUAUUCAGGCAUCUCUUAUUAAGAUACUGGGUCUCUGGAUACCCAGGGAAAUGUUGGCUUUUUAUUCUUACAUGGUUCCAAAUUUACUUGUCUUCAGUUUAAUUGUCCAUGGUAGUGCUGGCUUCAUUGUUAGGUUGGAGUUAUUAUUUUCCUUUUGGAACAACAUGAGUUUUAUUCACCUUACUGUUAGAAAAAGGAAGAACUACAGCCAGAAAUAACUUCAUUUCCUAACAAGGUAUAAAAAGUGGUCAGGUGAAUGUGAAUGGGCUCUUCUACACAGGAAUAGAUUAUUGGAAUAAAGUAUUUCCUGCUGCCUUAACUCUUCGGGAUGCAUAGGAUAAAAUGAUAAAGACCAUUUUAAUAUCAGAAAGGGUUGUCUUAUUAAUUUCUAAAUAAAACUUCACAUUUCUUAAUGGGGAGCUCAUUCAGAAACUAAAUCAUGGUUUCUCAAAGUGUGGUCAGGAUACGAUCUGCAUCAGAAUCCUUGGAAUGCUUGUUAAAAAUUCCAAUUGCUAUGACAUAACCAAGUCUGCUGGAAUCUGCAUUUCGGCAAGUUUCCCAUGUUAUUCUGAUGUAUUUUAACAUUUGAGAACCACUGCCAAUCAUCUGUACAGUUCCUACUGUUAAUGAUCACAAUAAGACUAACAUGAAUUUAAUAAUCUGAAUAAUUUUUAAAAUUUAAAUAAAAAACUGAGAAAUUGAAGUUAAUUUAAAAAUAAAAAUAACCUUAGAAGUUGAAA